GAGGUGAACACAAUGUGAUGGUAAGUCGUUACUGGAAUUACAACAGACAAGCAGUAGGAAAUAUGUAACCGAGGCUUGGAGAAACCACUUCUGUGACAGCUACCCAAGACGGCCUCUGCCCCACAGUUAGUGUUGAGGUAGAUGGAGGCGGCGCCGCAGCAGACGGAAGUGAGGUUGAAGCGCUAGCUUGACAACCAGGCUGUGACACUAACAGAUUCAUCUGUUCUAUGGAUCAUCAUUAUCAUUCAUAAGUGAUGGAGCCUGAUUGGCUGGCGACCAGUCCAGGGUGUACCAAGAUGGAGCCGCCUUCCAAGAACGCACCACCGCUGAGAAAAGUUUGUUUGGCUACGGAAGCAAUGGCUUCGACAGUCAUCUUAUUAUCAUUCAUUAGUGUGAACAAUGCCAAUUGAAGAGAGAAGGGGAGGGUUCCAGAGAUGAAGCUAAUCAACACUCACUCUUAUUGCUGAUGCUGAUCCAAAAGCGGAGGAGAAUGUCAAAAGGAGACAUUUUUGUGGG